rnacentral:rRNA from 1 species
GAUGAACGCUGGCGGCGUGCCUAAUACAUGCAAGUCGAGCGAACAGAUGAGGAUCUUGCUCCUCUGACGUUAGCGGCGGACGGGUGAGUAACACGUGGAUAACCUACCUAUAAGACUGGGAUAACGUCGGGAAACCGGAGCUAAUACCGGAUAAUAUAUUGAACCGCAUGGUUCAAUAGUGAAAGACGGUUUUGAUGUCACUUAUAGAUGGAUCCGCGCCGCAUUAGCUAGUUGGUAAGGUAACGGCUUACCAAGGCAACGAUGCGUAGCCGACCUGAGAGGGUGAUCGGCCACACUGGAACUGAGACACGGUCCAGACUCCUACGGGAGGCAGCAGUAGGGAAUUUUCCGCAAUGGGCGAAAGCCUGACGGAGCAACGCCGCGUGAGUGAAGAAGGUCUUCGGAUCGUAAAACUCUGUUAUCAGGGAAGAACAAAUGUGUAAGUAACUAUGCACGUCUUGACGGUACCUAAUCAGAAAGCAACGGCUAACUACGUG